AACGAACGCGGGCGGCAGGCUUAACACAUGCAAGUCGAACGAGAUCUUCGGAUCUAGUGGCAGACGGGUGAGGAACACGUGGGAACAUCCCUUUCAGUUCGGAAUAACGUUGGGAAACUAACGCUAAUACCGGAUACGUCCUUCGGGAGAAAGAUUUAUCGCUGAAAGAUUGGCCCGCGUCUGAUUAGCUAGUUGGUGAGGUAACGGCUCACCAAGGCUACGAUCAGUAGCUGAUCUGAGAGGAUGAUCAGCCACAUUGGGACUGAGACACGGCCCAAACUCCUACGGGAGGCAGCAGUGGGGAAUAGUGGACAAUGGGCGCAAGCCUGAUCCAGCCAUGCCGCGUGAGUGAUGACGGCCUUCGGGUUGUAAAGCUCUUUUGUCCGGGAAGAUAAUGACUGUACCGGAAGAAUAAGCCCCGGCAAACUUCGUGCCAGCAGCCGCGGUAA
rnacentral:rRNA from 1 species